rnacentral:rRNA from 1 species
GACGAACGCUGGCGGCGUGCUUAACACAUGCAAGUCGAACGCGCUUCACUCCUUCGGGAGUGAAGUGAGUGGCGAACGGGUGAGUAACACGUGAGCAACCUGCCCUUGACCCUGGAAUAACAGCUGGAAACAGCUGCUAAUACCGGAUACGACCUCGAUGCAUCAUCUGGAGGUGGAAGACUCCGACGGUCGAAGGAGUGGGCGUCGCGGCCUAUCAGCUUGUUGGUG